GAACUCUCUAGCGUGACACUAAUAAGUCCAUAGCAUCAUAUAUGUGGCUUAGCAGGGCGCAGGGGGCAUAGCCUAACAAAUGUGUGGAGUCAAUUGGUUUCCCAAGGGGACGCUACUGAGAAGCUGGCUCACCAAGUCCCGACCCAGACUGCUGCUGCUCAUCGCCGGCUUGAAGAGGCCUCAGGUCACCCUCAUGCGCAGGAAAAGGAUGAAAUGCACGAAAGCAGCAAAGGCCACGUAAGCGCACUUGCAGUCGUAUGCCGCAUUUCACUUGAGUCGCUGAUACAGAGAGAAGCUCCAUCUGCUGUCGACAUGAACGCAGACCCAGAAACAGAGAAAGCAUCUCAGUCGUCUCUGCCAAACAUACGAACUAAACGCCAAAGCAGAAGCGGCGCAGAGUUUGUUGUGAAAAUGAGGGAUCUUCCACAAAGAUCCAGACCCCCCGACUAAGAUCCGGAGCCUCCCAGUGACAUUUGUUCAUCUUUCUCUCAAAUACACUUCUGUCAUGCUUCUGUUCACUACACAGUGUGUGACAGCACAUUA